rnacentral:rRNA from 1 species
UACGUAGGGUGCGAGCGUUGUCCGGAAUUAUUGGGCGUAAAGAGCUUGUAGGCGGUUUGUCGCGUCUGCCGUGAAAAUCCGGGGCUCAACCCCGGACUUGCGGUGGGUACGGGCAGACUAGAGUGUGGUAGGGGAGACUGGAAUUCCCGGUGUAGCGGUGAAAUGUGUAGAGAUCGGGAGGAACACCGGUGGCGAAGGCGGGUCUCUGGGCAUCUCCUGACGCUGAGGCGCGAAAGCGUGGGGAGCAAACGGG